CUUUCCGUCUAUCCCUCUCCCAGCACCAGCCCUAGAGAUCUCUCCCACCUCUCUCUUCCUGUCGAUCUCUUCACGAACAUUAGGUGGUGCUGGUAUCUGGUGAGACUGGUUGCAGGAAAAUAACUCAGAGAUGGCUUCCAUGACACCAUGCAAGAAUUGGAUGAGGGCAGGAAGGUUAACUGUUGAAUACAUGGAAGGUGUUGCAACAUUUCUAAAGUACGUGAAAUAAAAUUCAAAUGGAUAAGACUGGCAUAGCUGUCCUUGUGCCAAGUGUUGUAAUAUACGUGGGAAGAUGACAUUAGAAACCAUUUCCGAGCACUUGGUUUUUAAUGGCAUAGA